rnacentral:rRNA from 1 species
UACGGAGGGAGCAAGCGUUACUCGGAAUCACUGGGCGUAAAGGGUGCGUAGGCUGUUUAAUAAGUCAGAAGUGAAAUCCCAUAGCUCAACUAUGGAACGGCUUUUGAAACUAUUAGACUAGAGUGAGGGAGAGGUAGAUGGAAUUAGUGGUGUAGGGGUAAAAUCCGUAGAGAUCACUAGGAAUACCGAAUGCGAAGGCGAUCUACUGGAACUCAACUGACGCUGAGGCACGAAAGUGUGGGGAGCAAACAGG